CCUACGGGGGGCUGCAGUAGGGAAUUUUCGGCAAUGGGGGGAACCCUGACCGAGCAACGCCGCGUGAACGAAGAAGUAUUUCGGUAUGUAAAGUUCUUUUAUUGGAGAAGAAAGAGAAAUUUGACGGUAACCAAUGAAUAAGCUCCGGCUAACUACGUGCCAGCAGCCGCGGUAAUACGUAGGGAGCGAGCGUUAUCCGGAAUUAUUGGGCGUAAAGGGUGCGUAGAUGGUUGAUAUAAGUCUUUUGUAAAAAUGCUAGGCUCAACCUAGUAGGGCAAAAGAUACUGAUGAACUAGAGUACGGCAGAGGCAAGUGGAACUACAUGUGUAGCGGUAAAAUGCGUAAAUAUAUGUAAGAACACCGGUGGCGAAGGCGGCUUGCUGGGCCUGUACUGACAUUGAGGCACGAAAGCGUGGGGAGCAAACAGGAUUAGAUACCCGUGUAGUC
rnacentral:rRNA from 1 species